CCUACGGGGGGCAGCAGUGGGGAAUAUUGGACAAUGGGGGCAACCCUGAUCCAGCCAUGCCGCGUGUGUGAAGAAGGCCCUCGGGUUGUAAAGCACUUUCAGUGAGGAAGAACGCCUGGUGGUUAAUACCCAUCAGGAAAGACAUCACUCACAGAAGAAGCACCGGCUAACUCCGUGCCAGCAGCCGCGGUAAUACGGAGGGUGCGAGCGUUAAUCGGAAUUACUGGGCGUAAAGCGCGCGUAGGUGGCUUGAUAAGCCGGUUGUGAAAGCCCCGGGCUCAACCUGGGAACGGCAUCCGGAACUGUCAAGCUAGAGUGCAGGAGAGGAAGGUAAAAUUCCCGGUGUAGCGGUGAAAUGCGUAGAGAUCGGGAGGAAUACCAGUGGCGAAGGCGGCCUUCUGGACUGACACUGACACUGAGGUGCGAAAGCGUGGGUAGCAAACAGGAUUAGAUACCCCGGUAGUC
rnacentral:rRNA from 1 species